rnacentral:rRNA from 1 species
UGCUAGUUGUACGAGCUUAGACUCGUUGCGGAAAGCUCAGUAACACGUGGUCAAACUACCCUACGGAGAACGAUAACCUCGGGAAACUGAGGCUAAUAGUUCAUAGGGGAGUCACGCUGGAAUGCCGACUCUCCCAAACGCUUACGCGUCGUAGGAUGUGGCUGCGGCCGAUUAGGUAGACGGUGGGGUAACGGCCCACCGUGCCGAUAAUCGGUACGGGUUGUGAGAGCAAGAGCCCGGAGACGGAAUCUGAGACAAGAUUCCGGGCCCUACGGGGCGCAGCAGGCGCGAAACCUUUACACUGCACGCAAGUGCGAUAAGGGGACCCCAAGUGCGAGGGCAUAUAGUCCUCGCUUUUCCCGACUGUAAGGCGGUCGGGGAAUAAGAGCUGGGCAAGACCGGUGCCAGCCGCCGCGGUAAUACCGGCAGCUCAAGUGAUGACCGAUAUUAUUGGGCCUAAAGCGUCCGUAGCCGGCCUCGAAGGUCUAUCGGGAAAUCCGCCAGCUCAACUGGCGGGCGUCCGGUAGAAACCACGUGGCUUGGGACCGGAAGGCUCGAGGGGUACGUCCGGGGUAGGAGUGAAAUCCCGUAAUCCUGGACGGACCACCGAUGGCGAAAGCACCUCGAGAAGACGGAUCCGACGGUGAGGGACGAAAGCUAGGGUCUCGAACCGGAUUAGAUACCCGGGUAGUCCUAGCUGUAAACGAUGUCUGCUAGGUGUGGCACAGGCUACGAGCCUGUGCUGUGCCGUAGGGAAGCCGAGAAGCAGACCGCCUGGGAAGUACGUCCGCAAGGAUGAAACUUAAAGGAAUUGGCGGGGGAGCACCACAACCGGAGGAGCCUGCGGUUUAAUUGGAGUCAACGCCGGGA